GAAAAUACCGCAAAUUGUUUUUUCAAUGCAAUGUGGCGGAGAGUGGCGCCAAAUUUACCCUGCUUGUUUGGAUGGGGAAAGAAAAGUAAAGAAGCAUGUUUUUGCGUUUUGCCACAGUCUUGAAUCUGAACAACUUGCUGCGGAUAGUGUCAUCAGAAUUUGGAUUAUGAACAAUGAAUUCAAACAGUACA